rnacentral:lncRNA from 1 species
GAUCACUCCCUCUCUCUCCAAGCUCUUGGAGGAUGAAAGAAUGAAAUGGAAGUUAUGAGGAAAUAGGAAGGAAGGGGUCCGUAUCUAUAGAAAAUGGGAAACAUUAGAUUUGCACCAAGUGACAAAAUCUGGUGAGUAGCAAAAAAGUUAAUGGGAAAAGAGUGAUGUGAUGCGACAUGAUCGUAGUACAAAAAAUAGAGGCAC